rnacentral:rRNA from 1 species
GGAUCAUUACCGAGUUUUGGGUCUCUUCAC